rnacentral:rRNA from 1 species
AGAGUUUGAUCAUGGCUCAGGAUGAACGCUGGCGGCGUGCCUAAUACAUGCAAGUCGAGCGAACAGAUAAGGAGCUUGCUCCUUUGACGUUAGCGGCGGACGGGUGAGUAACACGUGGGUAACCUACCUAUAAGACUGGGACAACUUCGGGAAACCGGAGCUAAUACCGGAUAACAUUUGGAACCGCAUGGUUCUAAAGUGAAAGAUGGUUUUGCUAUCACUUAUAGAUGGACCCGCGCCGUAUUAGCUAGUUGGUAAGGUAACGGCUUACC